AUUGAACGCUGGCGGCAUGCCUUACACAUGCAAGUCGAACGGUAACGGGCCUUCGGGUGCCGACGAGUGGCGAACGGGUGAGUAAUGCAUCGGAACGUACCCAUCAGUGGGGGAUAACUCUCCGAAAGGAGGGCUAAUACCGCAUAUUCUGUGCGCAGGAAAGCGGGGGACCGCAAGGCCUCGCGCUGAUGGAGCGGCCGAUGUCAGAUUAGCUAGUUGGUGGGGUAAAGGCCUACCAAGGCGACGAUCUGUAGCGGGUCUGAGAGGAUGAUCCGCCACACUGGGACUGAGACACGGCCCAGACUCCUACGGGAGGCAGCAGUGGGGAAUUUUGGACAAUGGGGGCAACCCUGAUCCGGCCAUGCCGCGUGAGUGAAGAAGGCCUUCGGGUUGUAAAGCUCUUUCGGCCGGGAAGAAAUCGCAUCUCCUAAUACGGGGUGCGGAUGACGGUACCGGAAUAAGAAGCACCGGCUAACUACGUGCCAGCCGCCGCCGUAACAC
rnacentral:rRNA from 1 species